UACGUAGGGAGCGAGCGUUGUCCGGAUUUAUUGGGCGUAAAGAGCUUGUAGGCGGUUCAGCAAGUCGGGUGUGAAAACUCUGGGCUCAACCCAGAGACGCCACCCGAUACUGCUGUGACUUGAGUCUGGGUAGGGGAUCGCGGAAUUCCAGGUGUAGCGGUGAAAUGCACAGAUAUCUGGAGGAACACCAGCAGCGAAGGCGGCGAUCUGGGCCAGUACUGACGC
rnacentral:rRNA from 1 species